rnacentral:lncRNA from 10 species
GCAUGGAGAAAGUAGAGAGUUAAGUGUAACCAGUGUUGGGAUCUUGGCCAAAUGAGUCUAACAAGGUUUCAAGAUGGCAAUGAUGUUGAGUGUCUUAGAUUGGAAGAAGAAGAGAUUUUGGAGUAGCAAUGGAAUAAUGACUGGAGACUGCAAGAGAUCAAAAGGACCUAAUGAAAUGUUUGUGGAACCUGUGUAAAACAUGCUGCACAAAGAUGUAAAUAAAUCAACCCAUGAACUCCUAGUACCCUGACCGCAGCGUAUGUAAGAUCAAUAAAUAGCUGUUGUCAUGAAUGCCACCUGUCGAGAGUUGAAUCUAACAUUCAAGUGAGACAGAUCACAUGAUACAAGAUAGUUUCUUGAAGCCAGCACUUGGCAUCAAAUUGAGGAAAAUGGAUGUGAUGACACAGAGCCUCUGAGGCUGUGUCCCUAUUUGCUGGUUAUUUUCUGCCAUCAACACUGAGGAGUUGGGUGCACAUUUGCCCGUGAAGAGGCUCGUGUGACAACUCGCACCCUUUCCUGUUCUUCUAAGUAGAAAAUGUCUCCAUAUCCAAAUGCAG